UCUCUUUCUCUCUCCCUUCCCCUCUCUCUCAAAAUAAAUAAGAAAAUAUAAAAAAAUACAUUGUUAAUAUACCUUAUUUCCAUCUUUAAAUGAUAGGUACUACUUUAAAGUACCAACGUCAUUUCCCACAAGAGCAGAUUUGAUUUUAUAUAGGAAUGCCUUUGGCUUCUUUACAUUGUGGUGGUAAUCAGAUGUCACCUCCCCCCCACCCCCAUUGUGGAAAUUUAUAAAUUAGUAACAAAAAUUUUCAUCAAAUGAAAUUUUUAUUGCUGGGGUUUUGGGAGUGGAGUAGUCAAGGGUAUAUGGACUUGUCAGUUUCCAACUUUAAGUGGAUACAAAUAUUGUAAGGAUAUUUUUAAGACAGGGGUGCCUGGCUGGCUCAGUUGGUAGAACAUGCAACUGUUGAUCUUGGGGUGAUGAGUUCAAGCCCCACGUUGGGUGUAGAGAUUACUUAAAAAAUAAAAUAUUUAAACAAAUAUUUUUAAGACAGAACCUUGCAUUAUAAUUCUUACUGUUGAAGAGACACUGCUAUCGUUGGCACCGUCUGUUAAGCUCUUCUGUGUACUUUUGCUGUUAUAAGCCUUAUAUAAAGCAAAUGAACUCUGCAUUUGGGAGACCAAAUUGAAUCUACAACAUCCUUGCUAUUUAAUGAGGCUGAGCAAGGAAGAACUGUUAGGAUGUUUAUAUUUGUCCUUAUAUUGUCACAUGUACUAAUUGGUUUGAACUAAGGUCACCUUCACUAUUACUGGGUAUCUUAAUGCGACAGUUCUAAUCAAGAUGUAGAAUCAUACUUAAGGUAAUAAAUUACAAAUAAGGUCUUAAUUUUUGCCAUUAGCUGUGCUUUUUACUUAAGAGAGACAUAUAAACAUACAAGGCUAGGCAGAUAUUAAGUCUAUUAAUAGGCAAAUGUAGACUAUGUACAAACAGUAUAAUUUUAACAGUAUAUUUUAUACAAGAAAGAAGAUGGAAUUUUUAGUGUGUAUCAAAUGCACAUUGUAAGCAAUUGAGUCAACAACCCCCGUGCCUCCUCUCAAAGACUGUUUUCUGAAAUUGAACUUCAGUGUUCAGUUUCAGAAAAAAAAUUCAAAGUGUAUAAACAUAAAAAACAUUUGUGAAAAACUCAUCUCUUAGAGGUUUGGCCAUUCGUCUCUGCGGAUGCUGUUUGAUUCUGUCUGUAAUCCUUUGGCUCUUACGCCAGGUCCUUAACAUUUUGGUGUAUACCAGCCCAAUUUUCAACUGCUGACACCUGCAGGUCUUUUGUAUGAGGGCUUUUCUGGCCCUGGGAGCCUGUGUAAGCAGUAUAGAAAUUGGUGUCCUAGAAUUGCUGGGGAACUAACUCACCUCAUUUCCUCUCCCUAGCUCUCAACCAGUGAAAUGAUAGGAAUUGGUGUAUAAGUAUCAUGCCUUGAGAUGGGAUAAUCCUAAAAUGUAUUUCUACACAGACCCUCUAAGUCCCCAGUGGGAUUAAGCUCCCAUUACACCACAGGAAUAAUUUCCCACUGGGAGUUCCUAGGAUUACUUCCCAAAUAAACUAUGGCAGCACUUUGAAUAGAGUCUGCUUUUGGGGAAAUAGAAACUAAAACAUGGGGGCAUAUUCCUUUAAAUAAAUUCAAUAUGAAAACCUUAAUUUUCCCUAAAGAUAGAUUUACAAGGCAAUUUUUUGUUUUACAAAAGACUUCUGUUAUGAACUCCAUUUAUAAAGAGAAUUCAUUUAAAUAAAUCACAUACUCCUAUUCAUUAAGUGCACUGAAAAUACCCAUUUUUACACAUAGCUUGUUAGAACUAUGCUUGUGUAAAACAGCACAGUUUCAUGUCAUAAUCAGCAUUUUAGCCAAAGUAAUUACUUUUGGGGGCAAAUUUUAUGGAACCAAGUAUAGCUAUUUAGCAUUUUGUUUGCUAUAUUUUCAUGUUUAAACCACUCCCACAAGUCCAUUUACUGCAGUUUGAAUGCUACGCAUGUGGUAGGUAGGGCGACCAUGUGCUUUAUUGUUUAAACCAGGACACACGGGAUAGAAAGGUUGUGCCGUUACUUAUGCUGGGGUAAAAAGAACGAGCACAUGUGGUCAUUCUGUGUAUAGGUGACCAUAUUAUUAAUUCUUUGGUACAGAUUUGCAGUCUUAGUACAGAUUUGGAUUGAUUAAAAAUAAAGUGUGUUGGAAGAUAGAAGUUUUUCCUUUAGUAUCUCUGUUUUCAGAAAUUAUGUAGUAUCAAUAUUACUGAUUAUUUCUAAGCAUUUUAUAACGAUUUAAGAGUUUCUGAUCAAAAAAUAAAAACAAAGCUCUGAACCAAAACAUUGAAAGGCAAUUCAGUUCUCUCUUCUCCAGGCUCAGUAAACCCCUGUUCCUGUAACUUUUAACCUAUAGGUUAUAUUUUCCUAUUUCUAAGUUAUUUUCGUGGGUCUUAUUUGGAUCCUUUCUAGCAAAAUGAUUUUCCCGAUAGUUUUAAGACACAAAUGUGAAGUUCUUCGCCUAGUGUAUGGCACAUAGUACUCAAUAAAUGGUAGUUAAUAAGAAUGAGAAAAAUAAGGAAGGUGAAAAUAGGGUCAUAAUUUACUUAGAUGUAGCUUCAGGUUGAAAUCUAGUCACAGUCUUCAGUAUUUUACUUUUUUCCUCCUUAAAUAUAGUCUAAAGUAGCAUUUCAAAUAUUCACAGGUUAGAGGUACUAAAAACAGGUCGUUAGUGAUAAAAGUAAUUUAUCUAAUUAAAUCUACAGUGUUUUCCCAAGCUUUCUUUCUUUACUCUCCAGAAGCCCCCUCUUGGUGGACUUACAUUCUUUUUGUGCCCAGUUUUGUUACGCAGUCCUGUCAUCUGCUCCCUCUUCAUAGGGCAAGAAUGGAACCUGCUUGGGGCCAUUUAUAGCUGAUAGUUUGUCUCGGCAUAAUUUUGAGUGCUUGAUUUUAUUCAGACUUAAAAAUUCAGCUCCUAAUAGUACAUUGGCAAGCCUUAUUUUUGAUCUUCAAGAGAUUGUCAAAGAUAGGAACUGUCUUUGUCAGUUUCUCAAAGAUUGGAACUCUGUUCAUCUUUGAAUUCCCGGUGUCUGGCACAUAGUAAAUGAAUGAAUGAAGUGGAUGUCUUCUGUCCACCCCCCCUUUCUUCCUCCCAUUUCUUCCUGGGCUGGCCAUUCAAUAAAACUCUAGUGUUGUACUGUGGGAAUGGAGAGUUUUUAUUUACACUGAAUUAAACAGCAAAUUAAACUAAAAGAAAAAGCAUCAGGAGAGUCUAAUGUGUGUUUACAUUCUUACCAAACAAAAGGAAAUUACUUUUACUUGCAUGUACCUUUUGAUUUUUUUUUUUUGUUCAUCUUUGUUGUAGUUAGCCUUUGAUAGAAAUCUUUCUCAGUGCUCUUCUCGAUAGUUACAUUGUGCUUUCCAUUUUUUUUUGUCUUUGUCAAAUUUUCCUGGUUAUGCAAUCUGCAGAAUUGACAUAGACAUUAGAAAUUUAAAUAGUAAGGGAAUUAGGACAGUUUAGUAAUACUGUAAGAAAAUUUUUUAUUUCUAUGGAGGAAACUACCUGUAGCUUUAUUAGAAUCAUAGUAUAAUAGAAAAGGAGUAGCUUUUAUCCCCACCUAGUUCUUCCAGUUAUGACAUACCCUUAUUUCUGCCUCCCACUAUACACCUAAUAUGC